UACGGAGGAUGCGAGCGUUAUCCGGAUUUAUUGGGUUUAAAGGGUGCGUAGGCGAAUCGUUAAGUCAGUGGUCAAAUUGAGGGGCUCAACCCCUUCCCGCCAUUGAAACUGGCGAUCUUGAGUGGAAGAGAAGUAUGCGGAAUGCGUGGUGUAGCGGUGAAAUGCAUAGAUAUCACGCAGAACCCCGAUUGCGAAGGCAGCAUGCCGGCUUCCGACUGACGCUGAAGCACGAAAGCGUGGGGAUCGAACAGG
rnacentral:rRNA from 1 species